CAACAAGUCCGCCCACACCACAUCUCCAGGGUCGACUGCAGGGGUCGGUUCCCAGAGUGGUACAAUAAACUGUAUGGACACCUGUGUGCCAGUGAGGUGGUGCGGAUACGCCAGUCCUUCACCAGCCAGAUGGAUAAGUGGAGGUGGUGCGAUACGCCAGUCCUUCACCAGCCAGAUGGAUAAGUGAGGUGGUGCGGAUACGCCAGUCCUUCACCAGCCAGAUGGAUAAGUGAGGGCCAGGCAGCACCACUUGACUUGGAGACCAAAGUCACAAGAAGGGGCGACACCGGGGAACCCAAAGACUCUCUUAUCCACCCCCACCUCACCCCUAAUUCGCUACAGCCCUGAUGCUGGUUGGGGUUGACUGGGGAGGACAACCCAUUGACUCAUUUGAUUCAAGCUGUUGACAGACAUACCAUUGUGUCCUGGACAGAGAGACUUUGAACAGACUUUGUCGUCAUCCGUAGACUGUCAUCAACGACCAGGUUGGUGUUACUGCCUCCGAGGGUCAUGCAAGGACUGGAACGGACGUGGACCCUCAAAAGUUCUUUCAGAGUUGUGUUAUGGUUUCUUGUGCCAGGUGGUGCGUUGCGGGCGGCACGA